CUGGAAUGGUUCAUGGCCGGAAUCUAUAUGGCCUUUGGAUUGGACUGCGGCCGAUCAGGCUGUUGGUGAGGUAAUGGCCCACCAAACCUGUUACCGGUACGGGCUCUGAGAGGAGGAGCCCGGAGAUGGGCACUGAGACAAGGGCCCAGGCCCUAUGGGGCGCAGCAGGCGCGAAACCUCUGCAAUAGGCGAAAGCCUGACAGGGUUACUCUGAGUGACUUUCGCUAAGAAAGUCUUUUGGCACCUCUAAAAAGGGUGCAGAAUAAGGGGUGGGCAAGUCUGGUGUCAGCCGCCGCGGUAAUACCAGCACCCCGAGUGGUCGGGACGAUUAUUGGGCCUAAAGCAUCCGUAGCCGGUUCUGCAAGUCCCCCGUUAAAUCCAGCUGCUCAACAGAUGGGCCGCGGAGGAUACUACAGAGCUAGGAGGCAGGAGAGGCAAGCGGUACUCAGUGGGUAGGGGUAAAAUCCGUUGACCCAUUGAAGACCACCAGUGGCGAAGGCGGCUUGCCAGAAUGCGCUCGACGGUGAGGGAUGAAAGCUGGGGGAGCAAACCGGAUUAGAUACCCGGGUAGUCCCAGCCGUAAACGAUGCAGACUCGGUGAUGGGUUGGCUUCGCGCUAACCCAGUGCCGCAGGGAAGCCGUUAAGUCUGCCGCCUGGGUAGUACUGUCGCAAGACUGAAACUUAAAGGAAUUGGCGGGGGAGCACCACAAGGGGUGAAGCCUGCGGUUCAAUUGGACUCAACGCCGGA
rnacentral:rRNA from 1 species